GUGCAUGCUUGAUUCAGCUGCUCAUCUGCUAAAGUGGGAAGGAUGCAGAGAUUAGCAGGGGCCCUGCACAAGGGCAACAUGCAAAUUCGUGAAGCAUAUUGAAAAAAG
ensembl:snRNA U6 U6 spliceosomal RNA